CUUCGGAGCAAAUUUCUUCACCGCGUCGUCUACAGAGAGGAAUAUCUUGUCAUCGCCAAUGAGCUCCGUGAAUUUUGCUGACCACAGCUUCUGGAUCACUGCCGGCCCGGGAUUGGCGAGGAUCAACUGUACCUUGCUAGCCUCUGGGUAUUGUUCAACAUUCGUGUAGAUUGUUGUCCUUGGAAGGUUACCGAGUAAAGCUGUUCUUGGCCGUGUUACUUGGAGAAGAAUUUUGCCAAGAGAUAUUGCAACCUAUUCCAUGCAAGAUCCACAAUCAUCAGCGAGGUCAGUAGGAGGAUUCAGUUGUAAUUAACAUGACAAAAAUUGUAGUAGUUCGCACCGCAAUGAGCAAGCCGUACUCCACUGAUGCAAAUACGACCCCAAAGAAUGCUCCUAGCAAUGCCAUGAAGUCCAUUUUAUCAACCUUCCAGAUAAGAAGUUGCGAGUACUCAAGUUGACUUACAAUUGCAACACCCUGCUUGUCUGCACGGGUGAUGAACACACAGAAUGUGGAUACGAUCACUGAAAUGAGUGGAGCGAUUGCAGAAACCCAGAAGAGCUUUUUAUUCUUCUUGGCCUGAAUUAUCCCAGUGGAACAACAUGAUCAUCACAAAUAGUCGAGGAGAACCAGGAUGAAAUUCUGAACAUGUAGUAUUAAUC